GAGGGGAGUGUCGACCCCACUCUCGGAAUGGGGCCGCUGAGGCGUGCGCGGGCUUUCCGCUUCACCCCCCCCUCAGUUUGUUACGGAUGGAACAUUCCGCCGACCCUGCAUUGGGUUGGGCCGAGCGGCAGCGAACCCGAAGUUGCUCUUGCCGCAGACAGUUGGAGGGGGAAAAAGAGCGGCUCUGGGGACGACACCUCGUUGCGUUUCGGGACAGGAGGGGAGGUGCAAAAGGGAGAAGGGGCUCCCGCGGGCCCUGCGUGCAACUCCGCGACAGGCAACGGCUGACUUAGGGGUCUGCUCACGAAGCUUGAUUACGAGUAGAGCCCCACUUGUUUGGGAUCUUGCUCCAAAGGCAGUACAGGGAUGUCUACAGUGCUUACAGUAAGAGCUGGAAAAGAUGAAGCAACUAGAUAGCAGAAAAAUACUGAGUGGACACUGACCGUCUUAAUAAUUGGCAUCUGAUGCUACUUCUUGGGGAAGAUGAUAUUGGACAAAUCCAUGAUUAGAGCCUUUGUAAUGUAAACCAUCCCUACUGUGCUGGAAUUGAUUACACACAUUUGGUGAAGGAUGAUUUGAAUGCUCCACAGGUCUGACUUGAAGUUUUCAGGAGUGAGUCUGGGCACAUCAAUUUUGAGGUUUCUUCUGGGAUAAUUUGUGGUGAAAUAAAAGCAACAAAAGGAAAUUCCAUGUACCUCCUUCAGGUUCUGAUGGAAGAGGAAUCCUCCCGCAAAGGCAGUCAAACACCAUGGUUUCCUGGGGUGUUCUUGCUUGACUGUCUGAGAGUUCCACACAUUCAACCUUACACCUUUCUCACUGAGGCACUUAGGAUUUCUCUGAGGAGCCAAGGAGAUGGUGCAGCUGCACUUCAGAGCGUACUUCUCAUUUGGGUUUUUCCCUGCCUCUACCCAAAGGCUUGCCUCAUUGCAAGAGAGGAUAAACUUCAGAACAUUUCGUUGAACCUUUUUUCUUCCUUCCUUCGAUUUAGAGAGAAUUCUAAUGGAUUGUAUGGUAGUUUUGAUCAACCUGAGCUAUUUUUAUGAAUGCAAAUGAAAUCCGUUUAAGCUUGUCUAUAAAUGAAUCAUCUCCGAUACACAAUGAUCCUUUGACACACUGAUUUCCAAAUUUAGAUUUACCUUCCUGCUUCAGUUGAAUUAUAAUUUGAUUUGGGUCUCCAUUUCCCAGACAGCAUAAAUUCUAUUAUAAAACUUUUUAAGACCUUAUACAUUUCAUAUAACAAAAAUAGCAACUGCACAUCAGAUCCCAACUUCACAGCUUGUGAAAAAGGGAUGAAUUCAUGGAGUUCAUACUUAAGAUGUCGCUAAUACUGAUGAUCUGUUUAGAGUUUGGAGCAUUUUUGCAAAUAAUUUUCAUUUCUCUCAUUUUCCCACUUUAUCAUUUCAGAGGCUUUAUGCUAUCAUAGCAACUUCCAACUCUAAUUCCCUCAGCUGUGGUUAAUUAUAGAUAUUCUGUGUUUUUCAUUCCGGAGCUUCUUGGUACUGACUAGGCCAACCAGAGAUCUUUUGGGGGCCCUUUCAUUUCCAGAAAUACUGCUUUUAAUGUGUCAAGUCCUAUCAUCAGCAAGAUGGCUUUUUUUUCCACAUCUGUACAGAAGAGUGUAAAAUUCAUGAAACUGUGCUCCAUUUCUCUGAAGUCGAAUGUACACAUUUUAAAUCACAUUUCCUUUUGUAACAAGCUUAAAUUAUCUUCAGAAUUAGACAUUUAAAAUACACUUAGUUGGUUGGGUAAUAAGUAGACUGUUUUAAAAGCGUAUGCUUUACGCUUUUCACGGAUUUGCUUGUUCUAUUGGCAGUAAGGCACCUUUGCAACAUGCUUGCCUUAAUUGGCAGUCCUUUGGUAGAAUGUGGGAACAGAGUUCAGAACAUUAAUUGUGCAGAGACAUUCCUAUUCUUAUUUUGCAUUUUCUCUUUGAUAACUGGAAACACUAAUUUAUUUCUACGUUUCGAAAACACUGCUAGAUUUUCUUUUUCUUUGCCUUUGAGGGAAAUCAAUCCUCUACUUCUUGUAGGGAGUUUAUUUUUACCGUCAUUAGUGGCACUCUGGUUUGAGCAGAGCUGAACCCAAGGGCUCUCAUCACAACUCUAAUUUCCCUUUGCUGAAACAGGAGGGAGUCAGAGCACUUGCUACCUCAAAGGAAGUGUGCAGCAUACUUAACAUUGAUGCUAUUAUGAUGAUUGGCAUAUUUUGAUCAUCUUAUUUUUCUCUUUGAUACUGAUGUACAGUGAAGAGUGAACAUUAUCUUUAAGCUGCAAUCUGAUCUUACUGAGCUUUAAGUGCAGCAAAGGGCAGUGGAUUUUCUCUUCAGCAACAACACAAACAGCAGGAGUUCUGGAAAUUGUAGUGGCAACAGCAGCUUCUGUUGUGACAGUUCUCUUGUAGGUCACCAUGGUGAGAAUGUAUCUGAGUGUUAAUUUUUUUUUUUUCCUGCCCAGACACUAGCAUUAUUUCUAGAAGCCAGAAGAGUACUUUAUAUAAAGUAAUAUUCUUAACAUGAAUAAUCUUAAUGUAUAUUUGCUAAUAGAAAAAUACAUACAUUUUUCCCUUUUAGGACAAAUUUAAUGCCGAGAAAAAGAAACAGUUAACAACAGUUUCAAAACUAAAUACAGAAUAUUUACUUUUACUGAAUAAAUAACAACAUGGAGUCUGGCCUACAUUCUGCUUUUCUUUUCUCUGGGAAGAUUCAUUAUAGAUAUCUUAAUAUUAAAAGUCUUCAUUUUUAAACUAUGGGUACUGUAAGAUAAUGCAGAGGACUUAUUUGUACUUACCACAGAAAAGGCGAAGCUCUCUUGUCUGAGCUCAAUUGAAGUGGCCAUGUUGAAACAAAGCAUCUGAUGUAAGCCACCCUGAUGGUCAGAGAUAUCACCCAUCAAACCAUCUUAGGAAAAUCCAGAAGAGGAAGAAUUAAUUCUUUUUUUUAACAGCUUGGGGGGAGCUCCACUUAGAGUCAGCAUGACCCCUCUUCCCUGUCCUGCUUCUUAGUUUUGCCCAUCAGCGAUGUGGUGAGCAGCCUGUUGAUGGGUCUGCUGCUGGUGACUGACUCAUACCAAGUGCUACCAUUAGUGAGCCCACGGCCAGUCAUGCCUGCAGCCCCAGCCUGCUGGGCCACUUCUGGGAUUGUGUAGCACCGGGGCUGGAUACCAGUGAGCAUUGUUCAGAUGAGAGAAAAACAGAGGCUUUUCUAUUGCUGUUUUUAGGGUUUACUUUUCUUGGUUUGUUUUAUCUCUUGACUCCUUUCUUUUCUACUUAGAGAAUUAACUAGUUAAAACCUGGAUUCCAUAUCAAUGAGGAAAAGAUCACAAAGAUUAAACAGGAAGUAGUCAACACAUUAUUAUUUGGUUUCUUUAAAAGACAUGUCUAUGACAGAAAUGUUACUGGGUAGGAAAAGGUAGCAAUGGAAUUGCAUAGACAGUAGUAUAUCUAAGUUAAAGGCUGCACGUUGUGAUUAUAAUCUCUUUAAAUUUUGAACUUUCUUUUUGAAAAUCACAUUCAGGCUUUGAAUUUUCAUGAGAAUGAUCUCUACUGUAAAAGACAGUGUCCAUACAGCAUUUAGAAACUGAGAGGAUGCUGUUACCAGAAACGGUGUAUUUCCUGGAGCCAAAAAACAAGCUUUUUUGCCAAACUUGAUUGACUUCUUCAAUAACUUUAGCUUAAAAGAUAAGAACAGAAGUACUUUACAGUUGAUUAUGCUUAAACUGCAAAACUCUCAAACCUCUCUUAAGGCUCUCUUAAAAUGCUUCAUUCAAAGGGUGGAAAAAAUAAUCAAAAGUUCAGAUAGUCAGUGAAGAACCAAACAGAGCAAUAAUAAUGAUCAAGGCACAUUAAGGAUGACAGGUGAGAAUAGCCUAAGCAAAAACCGAUAUUCUAACUGUGGUAAAAAAUUUGGCAAGAUUUUAGAUGGCAAAAGGAUACAUCUCAGAGCAAAAAGUUAAUAAUACUAACACUUCCAACGUACCUCUUGUGUCACCUGCAG
ensembl:lncRNA